AGAACGAACGCUGGCGGCAGGCUUAACACAUGCAAGUCGAACGGGUGUAGCAAUACAUCAGUGGCAGACGGGUGAGUAACACGUGGGAACCUUCCUAGGGGUACGGAACAACUCAGGGAAACUUGAGCUAAUACCGUAUACGUCCGUAAGGAGAAAGAUUCAUCGCCCCUAGACGGGCCCGCGUCGGAUUAGGUAGUUGGUGGGGUAACGGCCUACCAAGCCUACGAUCCGUAGCUGAUCUGAGAGGAUGAUCAGCCACACUGGGACUGAGACACGGCCCAGACUCCUACGGGAGGCAGCAGUGGGGAAUCUUGGACAAUGGGCGCAAGCCUGAUCCAGCCAUGCCGCGUGAGUGAAGAAGGCCUUAGGGUUGUAAAGCUCUUUUACCAGGGACGAUAAUGAACGGUACCUGGAGAAAUAACGGCCCCGGACAAACCGUUCGUGCCAGCAGCCGC
rnacentral:rRNA from 1 species